AACUAGAUGGUGUAACUAACACACUGGGUUGCAAACCCAGAGAAGCGAGCUCUGGUCA
rnacentral:tRNA from 1 species